rnacentral:rRNA from 1 species
UAUCUUCGGACCUCAGGCUGUCAGAUGAGCCUAGGUCGGAUGAGCUAGGUGGUGGGGUGAAGGCCUACCAAGGCGACGAUCCGUAACUGGUCUGAGAGGAUGAUCAGGUCACACUGGAACUGAGACACGGUCCAGACUCCUACGGGAGGCAGCAGUGGGGAAUAUUGGACAAUGGGCGAAAGCCUGAUCCAGCCAUGCCGCGUGUGUGAAGAAGGUCUUCGGAUUGUAAAGCACUUUAAGUUGGGAGGAAGGGCAGUAAGUUAAUACCUUGCUGUUUUGACGUUACCAACAGAAUAAGCACCGGCUAACUUCGUGCCAGCAGCCGCGGUAAUACGAAGGGUGCAAGCGUUAAUCGGAAUUACUGGGCGUAAAGCGCGCGUAGGUGGUUCAGCAAGUUGGAUGUGAAAUCCCCGGGCUCAACCUGGGAACUGCAUCCAAAACUACUGAGCUAGAGUACGGUAGAGGGUGGUGGAAUUUCCUGUGUAGCGGUGAAAUGCGUAGAUAUAGGAAGGAACACCAGUGGCGAAGGCGACCACCUGGACUGAUACUGACACUGAGGUGCGAAAGCGUGGGGAGCAAACAGGAUUAGA